rnacentral:rRNA from 1 species
UACGGGGGGGGCAAGCGUUGUUCGGAAUUACUGGGCGUAAAGGGCUCGUAGGUGGCCAACUAAGUCAGACGUGAAAUCCCUCAGCUUAACUGGGGAACUGCGUCUGAUACUGGAUGGCUUGAGUUUGGGAGAGGGAUGCGGAAUUCCAGGUGUAGCGGUGAAAUGCGUAGAUAUCUGGAGGAACACCGGUGGCGAAGGCGGCAUCCUGGACCGACAUUGACGCUGAGGAGCGAAAGCCAGGGGAGCAAACGGG